rnacentral:rRNA from 1 species
CCCGCAAGGGGAGCGGCAGACGGGUGAGUAACGCGUGGGAAUCUACCCUUUUCUACGGAAUAACGCAGGGAAACUUGUGCUAAUACCGUAUGUGUCCUUCGGGAGAAAGAUUUAUCGGGAAAGGAUGAGCCCGCGUUGGAUUAGCUAGUUGGUGGGGUAAAGGCCUACCAAGGCGACGAUCCAUAGCUGGUCUGAGAGGAUGAUCAGCCACAUUGGGACUGAGACACGGCCCAAACUCCUACGGGAGGCAGCAGUGGGGAAUAUUGGACAAUGGGCGCAAGCCUGAUCCAGCCAUGCCGCGUGAGUGAUGAAGGCCCUAGGGUUGUAAAGCUCUUUCACCGGAGAAGAUAAUGACGGUAUCCGGAGAAGAAGCCCCGGCUAACUUCGUGCCAGCAGCCGCGGUAAUACGAAGGGGGCUAGCGUUGUUCGGAAUUACUGGGCGUAAAGCGCACGUAGGCGGAUCGAUCAGUCAGGGGUGAAAUCCCAGGGCUCAACCCUGGAACUGCCUUUGAUACUGUCGAUCUGGAGUAUGGAAGAGGUGAGUGGAAUUCCGAGUGUAGAGGUGAAAUUCGUAGAUAUUCGGAGGAACACCAGUGGCGAA